rnacentral:lncRNA from 1 species
CAGUUAUAUAAUUAAUCAAUCUCAAUUCUCAGACCCAGCAUUUGGAAGGCCCAAAGGGCAAAUGGGCCUGGAUCACGGUGAGGCUGACACUGGCCCCAAAAAAGAGCCCCUCCUUCCUCCCCCCUUUGUUCCGGCAGCCGUCCAGUUCACCUCAAAAAAAAAAAGUUUACAAUGCCCAUCCAUCCGCCCUUCGCCGUCGCCGACGUGGUCUCCCGUGGCGGCGGGGGACGCCGGCCCCUUAGGUCGCCGCUCUCACCAAGGUAAGGAAGUGUCCCAUCUACAUCGUCGGUCUCCGGUCUCCUCUUCCUGUAAUCCAGUGAUGAAAUGCUGUUUCUUACCGAUUUAUCCUCGCUUGGUUGCAACCAUUAUUCAUUGCGAUUAGCCGAGCUCAUCUUUCCUCAGUACUGAUUUGCUGUCCUCGUUCUGGUUCCCCGGCGAGCUGAAUCCCUCAUUUUUAGCCGCCCCUGCGUCUGCGGAAUUGAUGCGGAUCUGGAUUCAGGGGCUGUGAUAGUGUAGUCCGUGGACUGAAGAUUUGAGCCCUGUAAUUUGCCUUCUGUGAUGGGACUAGUAAUGUUUACUGCCACCACAGCUUGUUGUUCAGCUGAACAAAAUUAUACUAGAAUCCUUGCUCAAUAUUGUGUGAGAUAAUGGUAAACAGAGUCUUAUGGUACUCUCUGAAUUAUUGUGACCGUGCAGCAGCUUGUCAUAGGCUUUUGUCCAUGCCCAUCUAGAGAUUAUUUGGAUGAUUGCUUCAACACUGGUCUGAAACUAUGCCAAGGCACUUGUUUUGUCAUUCGCACUGGGUGGGGCGAAUAAAUGUGCCAUGUCAAUUCAUUGGAUUAUGGUCAAUACUGAGAGUGGUUCCCCAUUAGAUGAGUGCGUGGGGAUAAAUUAUACAGAUAGCAUGCCAAAUUUCUUUUUGACCAUCUAAUUUGAUUUCUGAAAAUAAGAUAAGGAAGUGAUUUUCCUAUCAUAUCUUUAUUUCUCGUAUAAAAAGAAUGCUUACAAUAGUAGUAAGGUAUUGUAAAUUGGAGUGUUUCUUAACUAAUGUUCAUGUGGAAUUGGAAAAUUCUUCUUUUUUUUUACCAUAAUAUGCAUAAGCCAAGUGUAUAAUUUCGGUUAGAAGGUGCAAAGAAUCACAAAAAAGUCUUUCUGGUGCUGUGAACAAGGACAACAUAUUAAGUUAUUUACAAAAGAACAAGAAGCCUGAUAUUUAACCUUCUGCCUAAGUAAGACAUAAACACAAUAGCUAUAUCUCCCUGGAACAACGAUCUACUGUACCGCUAUAACCAGCCUCCAGAGUUUGCACUCUUUGGUUAUGUGUCCAGUAGAGCCACAAAUUAGGGUGAGUAGAACCAGAAUUGCAAUCCCCUGAAUCUGCUAGUCAAUGCAUUAAGGCCAAUGGAAGAUGUAACAUUGAUUUACCAAGCUUCUGCCACCAAUAUGCUUGCACUGGAAGAACCAGCACUGGAUCUUAUAAUCUGAUCAUAUUGAAUACCCUCCAUUGUUUCUCCAUUUCCACACGAACUUCGCUGGUGCCAGUGAAUCAAGUGUGCUGGCACUCAACUGGUCCCAAAGAUGCGGCUCUUCGUGAAUUGGCCUGGACACUGAGAGAUCCCAAAACAUCAGCAUUCCAUUCAUUAUUCAGAGCCUCCUAAACAAUGUGUGUAUUCUUGAUUCUUGUCGUCACAAUCACAAGGGAGAAGAGAGCUGGUGCAGGCUCCUCAGUCAAGCACUUGUUCAGCCAUCUAUCCUCCAGAAAAGGAACUUCUGCACUUCCGAGCUGCAAAGAAACUGAAGCAUUGAAUAAAGCAUGAAUAUCUUGUUUGACAUUGACCUUCUAGAACAGCAAUCCAUGUGGUAAAGUAUUUCUUUAUUUCCAUCUAUCUUGUUCAUUGAUUGGAUAAGAUUGAUUUACAUGUUUCUUCAAUUCAUAUUGAUGUAAAAGAACGAAAAUAUGUUCGGCAUGCUUACAUGUUUUCUAUUGUGAUGAUGUCCUUCUUCUUUUUAUUGCAUUGCCAACAAUAGGUUCCCUCACGAUAACCUGCUGUAUGGUGUUGGUGCUGCUUGUGUUGAUCUCAGAGCAUAGCUGUCCAAAUGUUUUGCUGCAUCUUAUGACACUGAGUUUCUUCAGGGAAAGAGGUAGUAAGCCUAUCUGGGGAAGAGAUUCAAGUUUUGGACAUUUCUCUAUGCACAGAGACUCAAGGGAUGUGAGAUGAAUCAUGUUGCUUGUUCCCUGCAUCUUACAUUCUGAAGAUUUUUUAUGGUUAGCAUCCCUCGAAGUUCAUUCAACUCCCUCAGUUGGCAUAUGUUGUGCCUCAUAUUACUCUUCACUUUGUUCUCCUCUAGUUCUUUUGAGGGAUCUCGGCCUGCCAAUCAAUUCUAUGCUUGAAAUUAUUUUCUUCGGAGCCUUUAAGUAUCUUAACUGGGUCAACCUACUUAAGCCCUCUUGGAGUUCCUUUUUCAUGAUCCUGUCUUGAGUUUGCAGACUCAACCCUUGUAAAUGGUAGAGUUUGAAUAAUGACUUGGGGACAUUGAUGAAGUUUCUACUUUCAUGGAUGUUUAGAUACCUAAGAUGGACCAAAUGAUCAAGACUGUCUGGAAGCAUACCAUCAGGAUUGCACAGUACUAAAACGCGUAAGCUUCUUAGCUCUUUGAGUAUAUGUUCAAGUAUAUGAUUAAAGUUUGACGAGGAGACCCUUUCGCAAGAAGCACCUUCUUGUGCCUUGCUUAUUAUUAAGCUUCUCAGAUUUUUCUUUAAUUCUUCCAAACUCAUGUACACCUUUAAGAUAUUGCUUGCACUGACAUAUAGGUGGCGAACAUUUCUUGGAAUACAUACAUUGAAGUCAUCUUCUAUUCGGAAGUGUUCUCCAUUGGACACCGACUCUGCAAAAUCAUGUAGCAAGUCGUGAACUACAUAGUGGUCCUCUUGGUUGGGUACCUUCUCAAUGAAUAAAAGCUGCAAGAGAUCAUUGAUGUAACGACGUGCAGUUUCAUCUGGUGUUUGCGUGUCAAGGAAACCGUGAGCUCUCCACAUCUGUAUUAGCUCAUCUCCUCGAAGGUGGUAUUUCUUAGGAAACAAUGCAAAGUAAACAAAGCAUUGCUUCAAAUGGUCAGGAAGAUGCUCAUAACUCGGUCGCAAUACUGAUAUGAUAUCAUCUUCCUUUUGCUCUAUUUGACACAAUUUCUUUCCACAGAUAGAACUCCAAUGUUCUUCUUUUAGCACCGCUUUCAAUGAACUCCCAACUGUCAUUGCAGCUAAAGGUGAUCCGGCCAACUUGCUCACCACUUCUUGGCCAAUUCUUUUCAGUUGUGGAAAAUCAGAAGGAUUUGCAUCACCGAAUGCACAUUGUGAAAAGAAAUCCCAGUAGUCUUCAUCUUCUAAGCCAUGUAACUCCAUGAUCUCUGUUGAUGCAUUCAUACUUGCAACAUUUUUACUUCGAGUUGUAACUAUUACUUUGCUGCCCUGGCUAGCAAACUUCAGGGGUUUGAACAGGUUCUCCAAUUGGCUCCUCAAUACAUUCCAUACAUCGUCAAGGACUAUCAAAGCCUUUUUCCCAUUCAGCCUAUCCCGAAGUAUCCUCUGAGCUUGAUCUAAACUACUGCUGAGAUUAUCUGACUCUGUCAUCUCUUUUGUUAGACGGCCAACAUCAAAUUUAUCUGAGACAUGGAGCCAUACUGUGAGAUCAAAGUGAUGUGUGUCAUGAAAGUGGUUAUACACUCUCUGUACUAGCGCUGUCUUACCAACACCACCAAUACCAACAAUUGAUAUAACAUCAUAUGGCUGACUGGAUUGUUCAUUGAUCUGAACAAGUAAUUUCUUCAGAUUGUUUUCUUCAUUAACUCGACCGAAAAACUUCUCUGAGCUUGGCAUAGAGCUUGUUGUGCGCCACUGAACUGCCUGUUCCGGUUUGCUGUCCUCUAUCUUGACAAACUCCAGAAAUCUUUGCAUCUCACUAUCAAUCUCAACAAACUUAUUGACUACAGAAAUCAAGUCAUCUAUAUCUUCAUCAGAGAAUAGAAAGCGUUUGAGAAGACGAACCGACUGAUUUACUGUCGAGCUGCUGCUACUGCUAGUGGUGGUAGAGGCAGUGGUGACGGUGCUUGAGGAUGAAGAAGAUGAGCCAGCUGCAGCUGAAGCAACUGAGCUAAUCAUGCCCCUGUCUUCAGCUUGUGCUUGGAGAACUCGAUAGUCAAACAAAUCGAGAACAUCCUCAGCUUGACAGGCAGCAUCUUUGAUUCUCCUUAGCCAACUUCCCAUGGCUAUGUUCUUUGCCUGCACUCUCUCAGCUAUAUGUAUCGCUGUUUGGAUCGACGAUAGAUUCUUCUCUAGGGUACUUAGUUUCUCCUUUGUAUCUUUCCGUUGGUAUUCAUACUGGUCUCCAGCAUAGGUGCACACCUUCUCAACUAGCUUGGUGAUGAAAGCUGAGGCUACCCAUCCUCCUACUGCUGAAGCAGCCAUUGCAGCUCAGAUGCUGCAACUCGAAGGAGUUGUCAAAUGCUGGUUUCAAGUGGCCGCAUAAAGGAAAACGAAUGUUGAUUUGAAGAGAGUUGGUAUCUGGAUGCAGUCAAGAGAGAAUCACGAGUAUAAAACUAAUUAUGUCCUUAGAAACUUCCCCGACUUGCAUCGUCUUGUUUUGCAUACGCCCACAUUCUAGUGAAGGUUAGUAAACAUCGCUUUUCAACUUUGUUUUUGCCACAUUUCUUUGUCAGUUUGUGGACCAUAAUUUACCUGAAGGUGUUUCUAAGUAAAAGACUAAUAUUAUCAUCGUAUAAUGUCCUUUUGUUUGCUGGACAACACUAAGACUGAAACUGAAACCUUUGGCACUUACCUUCAGAAAGAAUCGUGUGUCUCAUUCAGCACCUUGUUGCAGGUAACAAUAUAUACCCUCGGUGUGCUCCUAUGCUCCCAUGUGACUCGGCCAUGUGUUAACUUAUGCAGCAUCUGGCCUGUGCAUAUAUGUUAAGUUAUUAAUUCUUGGAGGGCUUAAACUUCUACACCUUCAUUUUUUUUUAUGUACUAGAUCUGAGAACCUAAAAAAUUUGGACAGCAUGCUCCAAUUGGGCUUGAGACCUCGAGUUGUGGUCCAGAUACAGAUAUUUUAUCUUAAUCUCAGUUCAGAAAAUUGCGCGGAACUUGCCCAAGGCUAGAAAAAAAACAAUGAUCAGGAGCAAGAACGUCCAAGGCUAGAUUCGUUUACUAUCAUAUACUCCUUCUGUUCCUAAAUAUUUGUCUUUCUAGAUAUUUCAACAAGUGACUACAUACGAAGCAAAAUGAGUGAAUCUACCCUCUAAAAUAUGUCUAUAUACAUUCAUAUGUGAUAGUCCAUUUGAAAUCUCUAAAAAGACAAAUAUUUAGGAAUGGAGGGAGUACUUUACUGCUUAGAUUGUUAUUAGCAGAAGCCGAAGCCAAAUGGUGUCUUGUUUCUUUUUGUUUAUUGUUGUUCUAGCUGUCGUUCACCUACUUGUCCAUGCCUACAGAGCUUCGAGCCUGUGCUCCAUCAGAAUCGCCCCAUCCCGGUCAGCUUUGCAUUACAAAAGGCUAUAAUACAUCAUGUUUUCUUGUUAUCAACAUGCUUUGGUAUCACCAGUUUUUUAAAGAUUUUUGUAAUGAACUGUCAGAAAAGUGACAAAAUAACCACAUUGUAGGUUCUGUGAGCCUUUAUCUAGAGAGCAACAGAAAUACGUGGCCGGUCGAUGAAUUUCAGUUUCCACUUUGGCAGUUAUGUGGUAUCCGAAGUUUCCUUUCCCCUGCAGUCAACCACUCAACCCUGGGAAGACAAUGUUCAUAAACUACAUGGCAAAUAUUUAUUUUUCUCUUCUUGUAGUCCUGAUUUAACUGAAUAAUCUGGAUUCUGUGGACUGUUGGCCAUUGUAGUUAUUGAUAUUCAUGUUUGUUUGCCCUCACAGUAUCAGGGCUCUGGGCUCGGAUUUCCUAGCGCUCACCAUAAGCGAGGGCAAAGGAAUCCUAGCAUGAAGGUUGGGGCAGUUGGUCUGGUCCAAUAAGCGAGAAUUUUUCCUUUCUUCUGUUUUUAUUUUUUUAUUUUCCUUUCUUUUCUUUUUUGCUUUCUCCUUUUUCCUCUCCUUCUCUUUUUAUAUAUUUACUCUGCUUUUUCUUAUUAUUUUUUGCCAUUUUCAGAUUACUUUAAUUUUAAAUUUGUAUAUUGCAUUAUAUUUGGAAUAUAGUUAUUUUUUUCAUAUUUACUUUUCUUGUAAAUUUAGAACAUUUUUUAAGUAUGUUAACAGUUUUUGAGUCACUCAAAUCUAUUUUUGUACAUAUGGAAUUGUUGUUCAGUGAUACAUAAAUAUCCUUUCUGAGAUUUGUGAAACUUUUUUUCUAGUCAUGAACAAUUCUUUUGGAAUGCAUGGACAUUUUCUAAUAGAAUAAAAAUGGCUUUACGUAUAACACAAAAUAUUUUUAUCUGAUUUUAUGGAAUAUUUUUCAGUGGUAGUGUGAAGAUUUUAUUUGGUAUUCAUGCACAAGUCUCACAACCAUAUGAACAAAAUUUAAAAUUAGAUGCAAUGUUUUUGUAGAGUCAGC